CUCAAUGUCCAGAUUCCCAACCUCAGUUCUGGGGAUGGGGUCUCUCUGGCAAAGGUUGACACAAGAAGGGGAAUUAGGCAAGAUGGAAAUGGGGGCAUUAUUUCAGGCUGGCUCACCAUUCUACUUUCAAAUCCAGGAUUAUCCAGUUCUUAAUCCUCUCUGUGCUAAAACCCUUCUCAGGUGCUGAAACUUCAACAGCAAAAACAUUAAAGAAGAGAGGAGAAGGGAUCUCUAGUUGUCUCGAGUGGUCAGCUUUCCAGAUCUCAGGUUGACAGAGUGGGCUUAGAUCUGGUAAUUCAACAUCCCCAUAAACCCUCCUCAGCCCCAAACCCACCCCUUUCCAUCAGAUGAGUAUGUGGAAGAAUUCAACGCAGGCACUAGUGGAACUGGCCUUGUGGGAUCAGAAAAUAAUUGCAAGGAAAUCUGAUCUCAUGAGGGGGGAAAGCUGACCCUAAUGAAAAGUUCUAUAGAAAAAGAAAAAAGAAAAGGACCCAGAAAAUGCACAGAAGUCAGCCCUACUCAUGAAUUAGCAAUCCUCCACGAUGACCCAAUAGUUUUUGGAAACAACUACAGUCCUUCCAGGAGCGUCUCCUAUGUUCCAGGCACUGUUCUAAAUGUCUUAUGUGUCUUACCUAAUUUAGCCCCAGAGCACAGACUUCCCACUACUGCAAUCAACAGGGACAUGACACAGUGGGACAAGGACCAGGCUAGGGUAGAAUUCCCAAAAUAAAAAGUUUUGAAUCAUUGCAGAAAGCAGUCAACACAUGGGACCAAAGAUACAGACAGUCAAUAAAACAGAAGAUCCUGAAAGCACAAAGAAAGAUUGAGGAAGAAGUUAACAGAAAUGAGAAGAAUGAGAAAGAAGACGGUAAAGAGGUCGAGGCGUAAGAGAAAGAGAAGAAACAAACGUUUGGCGCCCACCGUUUUUUGGAACGAUGUUCAAAACCCAUUCUACAUUCUUGUGAAAAAUCUG
rnacentral:lncRNA from 1 species